GGAUGAAGUGGAGCAACGCCGCGUGCAGGAUGAAGGCCUUCGGGUUGUAAACUGCUUUUAUAAGUGAGGAAUAUGACGGUAACUUAUGAAUAAGGAUCGGCUAACUACGUGCCAGCAGCCGCGGUCAUACGUAGGAUCCGAGCAUUAUCCGGAGUGACUGGGCGUAAAGAGUUGCGUAGGCGGUUAGUAAAGCGAAUAGUGAAAUCUGGUGGCUCAACCAUACAGGCUAUUAUUCGAACUCACUAACUCG
rnacentral:rRNA from 1 species